CUCUAAAAAAAAAAAGGUUCCUUGAGGUUCUAUAUAGAACCGUGGGGUUCUAUACUUGGCCAAUAGAACCUUUUACCAAAAAACGGGUUCCAUAUAGAACCCUUGGAAGGCAAAGAACCAUUUUUAUUAAAAUGGUUCUAUAAUUCACGUUUUGUGACUGAAGUGUAAUCUAAAGAUUACACAAUAAUUGCAGACCUACACAACUCAUUUACAAACCUACACAACUCAUUCACAAACCUUUUUGUGUCAAUAGGUUGUGGUCAAAUAAAGAGAGAGUCAACAAAUAGGCUACUAAUAUUUAGUGUACACUGUAAAAAAUCCAACUAAUGAAAUGUUGGACGGGCAAAAAUAUAUAAGUUAAACCAAUUUUUUUGUUUGAGCUAGUUGAGAAGAUCUGUGUUUAAAAUAUUAAAUGAAUGGUUAUUUUCAAAUCCAGUCAAAAUUCAGAAUGGCUAGUGUUGACUGAACUAAUUAAGACAAAUCAGGUAAGUAUGUGGAGUUAUGACUAUGUUUCCUGACAACAAAAUGCUCAUAAUAUUACUGUUAUUUGGUCACAAAAUGUAAUUGUAAGAGUUGUUCAGGCGUGAAUGUAUGUGCUUAAAGUUUAAAUAUGCGGUCGGUUAAUAAAGAUAGCGUCUAUUUAAAAAUGUGCUCGGACACUUUCGGACGUAGAUGAGCUCCAUAUGAGCUCCAGAAAAUCACAGACACUUAAGCGCUCACACCCCGCCCAGCGCAGCCUCUCCUCGGCAAGCCCAUCAGACUGCUGGCUCUGAUAUCUCUGUGGCGUUUAAACAUGUGAUUUAAUUCAUUUUGAUUUCUCAUACUUAACAAUGAAAGGGUUAUGUUUUAAAUCAUAUUUUAGGAUUGCACUUAAUUGAUAUUGCUGUUGAGUGAUGUUUCAUAUCUUUUACAUUUGUUAUAACCGGACUGCAUGCGAAUUUGAACUUCAGAUCUGAAGGAGCGAGUGGAGAAAUAGUCCCAAUAUCAUAACAAUCUUAAAUAAAACUUCUAAAUAUACCCGUGUGUGUACCCGUGUGCGCGCGCGCGUGCGCGCGACCCGCUUGCGCGCGACCCGUUUGCUCGCGCGUGUGUAUGUACAGUAUGUGCGUGAGUUUUUAAUUUAAAAUGUCUUAACUUAACUCGGAAGGAUCUGAAUCACAGGUCAUUUCAUCUGAGAUCAUUCCGCAUGUAACAGCCGGAAUCACUCACUGUUUCCCACAACGACACGAGUCAUCAGCCGUUUCCUCAAGGUCACGUCAGGUAAGUGUUUGUAAAUAAAUGUUAAUUUUAGACUAUAUUAAUUGGCAAAGACGCAAAUACUCGACGUUUUUGUAAACAUAUAAGUUAUAUAAAGGUGUGUUAUGUUAUGUGACCGACUUAAAGUGUUUGUUAUGUUAUGUGUCCGAGUUAAAGUGGAGCUAUUUUAGUUAAGAUAAUACCGGACAGGGUUUAGGACUCCGUCUUAAUUAUAAUUGGGACAUUUUUACCUUUUACCUUUACCUUAUAAAAUACAAUACUAGUGUGCAUUUUGAGACAAAACAAUAGCACUCAUAUGUUAACAGAUGUCAGUAUUUUAGUCAGUGAUAAGUCCUGUCCGAGAAAACCGCCCAAUAGUGUUUAAUUCAAUUACGUGUGAUGUCUGAGGGAAACUUGGCAAUUUUAGGGUAUAAAAUCUUUCACCGUCAAGCUUUAUUAUAUUAAACAUGUUAUUUAUGUAUGUGUGUGUGUUUAUAUUCCUCUGUUUAUUAAACCAGAGCGGUGAUGAGGAGAGGCAGAGACCACCACCAUACGCGAAGAUGAGCCUCGAGGCGUGACAGUUAUUUUUUCAAACUGAGGAGUUCGGACUCCGGACCAGCAUUUCUGCUUGUUUGUACCCUGAGAUAACCAUGGUUAAUAAAUGGUCAGACACGUCACUGGCUUUAAAAUAUAAACCCCAUUGAUGCAAAAAGAUGCUGCAUGGAAUGACAAUGUGGUUUGGAACAGACUUGGAAACAUCUCUUAAUAAAAUGGCCCCAAACAUCAUCAGGAGUGCAAAAGAAGGAAGUAAAAACAUCUCUACGCCAAUCUCAUUGGAGAGGAAACCACAGAAGGUCUGGUGAGGAAUGCUGCACUUAUGUUAUUGCAAGCAUUAUUUCAAGAAAAUCCCAGCUUCCUUGACUGUGUAAAUAGUGAACCCAAAGGUCCCACACCAACCAUAGUGUUCAACGGCUCUCCUGAUCUGUUCAAAUCUGAAUGUAUCAACUUUAUAAUGGACAAUGUGAACUUAAUAUGUGGAAGACAUUGACAUCACAGGCUGUGGAAUGACUGUGUCACAGGUCGGAGAAGCGGACCGCCCCUGUCGCGGAUCACGCUCCUCCUAGUUCCACCUCGAGGAGGUCCCAAAGCACCCCAAUGACCAGACAAACCAGAGGGGGAGUAUUACGGGGCCAGGGACGUUGGAGGGGUUUCCAUGUGACUCCAGCUGGAACACCGCUACAGAGCGUAUCUGGGUGGGUUGGGCACACACCGUCGCGGCGGCCCCUGAUGGCAUCCACAAGGGUCCAAGACCCUCCUAAGCUCCCAGCCGUAGCAGAACUACGUAUUUCAGCACCCGAACGACUAACAACCCAGCCGGCAUCUGCAGCGUAUAUCCAACGCGAUCAAACUUCACUCUGACAAGUAACUUCCUAUACACAACCACGCCGUCCUUUCGCCCGGACCAGCCCCGCACUCUUUCCGCCCGCUACCUAGCAGUCGCCGGAUCAGCAGAGCCUGCGGACUCUUCGGAGGCUGGUCUUCGUUGUGCUGCCCAAGGCGGAAGUUGACUCGCCCGAAAAUCGACCCUUUCAGUAACUUCUACCUUCUCUCUUUAUAUCCUCCUCCCAGGCGUGGCGAGCCUGGGAGGAGGAUAUAACAGCUGUGCCUUGUUUCAGCGAGUGCGGGGAUUCCCGGGGAACCCUGAAGUGCCGGUGUCUGUACAAACCGGUCCGGGCGGAACCUCUUCACUCUCCUUUUGGUUCCGCCCCGCAUAGUCACUCCGUGACAACUGUUUGCGUUUUUUUUUCUCCUCAAUGUUCAAUACCCUUUUGCCAUUAAGCACACAGUGACUUUAAUUUAUAAAAUAUAUGCUUAAGUUUUAAUACCUGUACAAAACAAAUGUACAAUCAACUUGUGUAAAUUGUCAUUCUAUUUAAUAGAUUGUUCAUGAAUUGUCUUUAAAUGCAUUGUGAUUUCGGUAACACUUUACAAUAAAGUUCAUUAGUUAAUGUAUUAACUAACUUGAACAAACCAUAAGCAAUACAUUUGUUACAGUAUUUAUUCAUCUUUGUUAAUGUUAGUUAAUAAAAAUUUAAGCUUUAAUUGCUUGUUCAUGUUAGUUCAGAGUGCAUUAACUAAUGUUAACAAGAUUUUAAUAAAGUAAUUGUUGAAAUUAACAUUAACAAAGAUUAAUAAAGGCUGUAUAAGUGCAGUUCAUUAUUAGUUCAUGUUAACUAAUGUAGCUAACUAAUGUUAACUAAUGAACCUUAUUGUAAAGUGUUACCGUGAUUUCUUUUCAUCAUUUCAGACACAUGUAAAAGUUACUAAAAAUUAAUACUGCAUAUACUGUACAGUAUCUAUGCGUAAGGGAAAUAACUUAAACAAAAUUUUUAAUGUAUAGUGUAAUUAAGAGUUUAGCUGUUUAAUACAGAGAUGCAAUUUAUUUAUAUAUAUUAUUUAUAUAUAAACGUAUGUAUGUUUAUUAAAAAGUGAAAAUGCUUAAUGGAAAUAAUUAAAUAACUAAAUGGUUGAA